UACCAGCACCCCGAGUGGUCGGGACGAUUAUUGGGCCUAAAGCAUCCGUAGCCGGUCAUGCAAGUCUUCCGUUAAAUCCAGCCGCUCAACGGUUGGGCUGCGGAGGAUACUACGUGGCUAGGAGGCGGGAGAGGCAAGCGGUACUCAGUGGGUAGGGGUAAAAUCCUUUGAUCCAUUGAAGACCACCAGUGGCGAAGGCGAGUCCCUGGACAACUUCUGACGCUGAGGCACGAAAGCUAGGGGAGCAAACAGG
rnacentral:rRNA from 1 species